rnacentral:misc_RNA from 1 species
AAGUCGUAACAAGGUCUCCGUUGGUGAACCAGCGGAGGGAUCAUUACUGAGUUAUUAAAACUCCAAACCCUUUGUGAACCUUACUGUCGUUGCCUCGGCGUGAGCUACGGCUACCCUGUAGUUACCCUAUAGCUACCUGCAGCUACCCUAUAGUUGACCAGUAGCUACCCUGUAGUUACCCUAUAGCUACCCUGCAGCUACCCUAUAGUUGACAUGUAGCUACCCUGUAGCCGGCUUAUGGCCCGCCGAAGGACCGCUAAACUCUUGUUUUUUACCACUGUUUCUCUGAAUUGUAAACUUAAAUAAGUUAAAACUUUCAACAACGGAUCUCUUGGUUCUG